GGAGGAGUGCAGGGAAUGGUAACCGGACGCUCUCGAAAAGCGUUGCCGUAAUACGGCGUGUGGGUUCGAGCCCCACCUCCUCCGCCA
rnacentral:tRNA from 2 species